rnacentral:rRNA from 1 species
UACGUACGAGGCGAGCGUUAUCCGGAUUUACUGGGCGUAAAGCGCACGUAGGCGGAUCGAUCAGUCAGGGGUGAAAUCCCAGAGCUCAACUCUGGAACUGCCUUUGAUACUGUCGAUCUGGAGUAUGGAAGAGGUGAGUGGAAUUCCGAGUGUAGAGGUGAAAUUCGUAGAUAUUCGGAGGAACACCAGUGGCGAAGGCGGCUCACUGGUCCAUUACUGACGCUGAGGUGCGAAAGCGUGGGGAGCAAACAGG